rnacentral:antisense_RNA from 4 species
AGUCAUGGCGGCUGUGCGUGGGAGACCUUCGGGUCUGCCGGUUUCUUUGCUCCCCCGGUUUACCACCCUGCGUACAGCUGCCACCCAU